CAAAUUUGCACAAAAAUGUGAAUUUUAAUAUUAUAAGUUAAAAUAUAAAUUUAAAAUACAAAUUUAAAAUUUAAAAUUUAAAUGUUAAAUUUAUAAAUCUAAAUUUAAAAUUUUAAUUGUGAAUAUAAAAUCUAAAUUUAAAAUUUAACAUAUGGAAAUUUGAAAUUUAAAGUUAAAAAUUUAAAACUAAAAAUUUAAAAUUUAAAUUAAAAGUUAAAUUUAAAUUUAAAAAUUUAAAUUAAAUUUUAUUCUAAAAUUUCAAAAUUUAAAUUUUAUCUCAAAUUUAAAAUUUAAAAUUUAAAAUUUAAAAUACAAGAUUUUAAAUUUUAAAUUUAAAUUUAAUAUCUAAUUUUUAAAUUUAUAUUUUGAAUUUAGAAAUUUAAAAUUUAGAAUUUUGAAAUUUAAAAAUUCAAAUAUAAAUUUAAAAUGUAACAUUAAAAUUUGAAUUUAAAUUUAAAAAUUUAAAUGAAAAACCAAAAUAAAAAUUUAAUGUUUGAGUUGAAUAUCAGAAUCAGAUUUUAAGAAACAUGUUUUAAUUGCAUUUGAUUUCGGGUAUCGAAAAUUAGAAAACUAAUUUUAAAAAUCAGAAUC
rnacentral:lncRNA from 1 species